rnacentral:lncRNA from 1 species
CCAGACAGGACUGAGCAGGAAGCAUCGGACUCGGGUAAGGGAGAGCUUCACGUCUUCCUCUGCAAACCGGUUUCCUAUGUUAUUGCUUCAGUUCAGUCCCUCUUCUUGUGCCCCAAGAGCAUCCUCACACCAGCUGAGGAUGGGGCCAGGAAGAAGCGCUACACACCAGGGUGGUCAGGCUGAGACAUCUGUUAGCAGAGCUGGCUUGGCAGGAGUACAUCGUCGUGCUGCAGUGGGGCCCACGAGGGACAGAGAGA